UACAGAGGGGGGCAAGCGUUGUUCGGAAUUACUGGGCGUAAAGGGCGCGUAGGCGGCCUUCUAAGUCGAACGUGAAAUCCCCGGGCUCAACCCGGGAACUGCGUCCGAGACUGGAAGGCUCGAAUCCGGGAGAGGGAUGUGGAAUUCCAGGUGUAGCGGUGAAAUGCGUAGAUAUCUGGAGGAACAUCGGUGGCGAAGGCGGCAUCCUGGACCGGUAUUGACGCUGAGGCGCGAAAGCCAGGGGAGCAAACGGG
rnacentral:rRNA from 1 species